UUUUUGCUUCAUGCCUUUCAGUCAAAUUCUUUCCUCUGAGAAGGCAAGGACUGAAGUUGCUGUGAGUGCGUACGGAUUUGCCACAGAUGGGCCAAUGCCUCACGCAAAUGGAACUCAAGGCCACUCCACUAUUUCACUAGACAAGUGAGAACAUUUCUGAGUGUUUUGGGACUCAGAUUGGCUUCCUUGCUCCUCAGCUUGAA